AUAACCCUUUGUUGUCCGACUCUGUUGCCUCCGGGGCGACCCUGCCUUCGGGCGGGGGCCCCGGGUGGACACUUCAAACUCUUGCGUAACUUUGCAGUCUGAGUAAACUUAAUUAAUAAAUUAAAACUUUUAACAACGGAUCUCUUGGCUCUCGCAUCGAUGAAGAACGCAGCGAAAUGCGAUAAGUAAUGUGAAUUGCAGAAUUCAGCGAAUCAUCGAAUCUUUGAACGCACCUUGCACCCUUUGGUAUUCCGAAGGGUAUGCCUGUUUGAGUGUCAUUAAAUUCUCAAAAUGAACAAUUUUUGUUGUUUUAUUUUGGACUUGAGGGUUUUGUUGGCUCUAAUAUAUUUGAGUUGGCUCCCUUUAAAUAUAUGAGUGGCUUAUUGAUCCCCCAUUAUUUGGUGUGAUAGCUAUAUCUACAUCAUGUACAAUGGCGGAAUCAUAUAAUAUAGCUGCUAUCUAACUGUCGAAAGACAAUUUUGAACCAUUUGACCUCAAAUCAGGUAGGACUACCCGCUGAACUUAAGCAUAUCAAUAAG
rnacentral:rRNA from 1 species